UUGUUUAUAGUUUUAAGCAUUUUGAUUUAUUCUGAUACUUUGCAGGUGAUCGUGAAGAAAAUCAAACGCCGCAAAACUGACUCGCUCCCUGGUUCUGUAGCCCCUCCUUUCCUUUCUCACCCCAACUUGAAUUAACAUAUAACCUUCGGUAAGAACUAAGAAAAUCAUGUCAUUCAACUUCUACACUCCACGUUGCAAUGCAAAAAAUCUUCUCUCGAUCUACCAGAUCAUUAUUGGAAAAGAAGAGUUGGAUAACUUUUGCGUGCUUGAAUAAUACACCUGCUCAGUCAGAACAUAAAACAGUGUUUCUGCACAUGCACGGUUCAUCCAUGUCCAAGAUCAUGUUGUUAAUUGAAAACAUAAAUUACACAUUUUAUUUUACAGGAAGUUAGUGAAUGCCAAGAUAUGAAGUGGGGAACAUUCAAGGCUACACUUACGGAUGCUCUAAUUGAUCAUCUGCAACCUAUCUAGGCAUGAUAUUUUUAAUAUUUAUGCGUGUUCACAGGAUGAUUGACUAUGGUACCUAUAGAAUUAGCUCAGCUCGCUGCUAUUCGGAUGAGUACAAUAAAUCCUCCGAGCAUUCAUAAUGUUCAUGUUGGUUCCACAAUCCUGCACUUUUAUUGGUGCAUACAGGUUA